UACGUAGGGUGCGAGCGUUAAUCGGAAUUACUGGGCGUAAAGCGUGCGCAGGCGGUUCGUUGUGUCGGCGGUGAAAGCCCCGGGCUCAACCUGGGAAUGGCCGUUGAAACUGGCGAACUGGAGUGUGGCAGAGGGGGGGUGGAAUUCCGCGUGUAGCAGUGAAAUGCGUAGAGAUGCGGAGGAACACCGAUGGCGAAGGCAGCCCCCUGGGCUAACACUGACGCCUCAGGCACGAAAGCGUGGGGAGCAAACAGG
rnacentral:rRNA from 1 species